UACGUAGGGUGCGAGCGUUGUCCGGAAUUAUUGGGCGUAAAGAGCUUGUAGGCGGUUUGUCGCGUCUGCUGUGAAAACUCGGGGCUUAACCCCGAGCCUGCAGUGGGUACGGGCAGACUAGAGUGUGGUAGGGGAGACUGGAAUUCCUGGUGUAGCGGUGGAAUGCGCAGAUAUCAGGAGGAACACCGAUGGCGAAGGCAGGUCUCUGGGCCAUAACUGACGCUGAGAAGCGAAAGCGUGGGGAGCGAACAGG
rnacentral:rRNA from 1 species